rnacentral:rRNA from 1 species
CGUACACUCCUACGGGAGGCAGCAGUGGGGAAUAUUGCACAAUGGGCGCAAGCCUGAUGCAGCCAUGCCGCGUGUGUGAAGAAGGCCUUCGGGUUGUAAAGCACUUUCAGCGGGGAGGAAGGCGAUACGGUUAAUAACCGUGUUGAUUGACGUUACCCGCAGAAGAAGCACCGGCUAACUCCGUGCCAGCAGCCGCGGUAAUACGGAGGGUGCAAGCGUUAAUCGGAAUUACUGGGCGUAAAGCGCACGCAGGCGGUCUGUCAAGUCGGAUGUGAAAUCCCCGGGCUCAACCUGGGAACUGCAUUCGAAACUGGCAGGCUUGAGUCUUGUAGAGGGGGGUAGAAUUCCAGGUGUAGCGGUGAAAUGCGUAGAGAUCUGGAGGAAUACCGGUGGCGAAGGCGGCCCCCUGGACAAAGACUGACGCUCAGGUGCGAAAGCGUGGGGAGCAAACAGGAUUAGAAACCCGGAUAGUCCCAUGAU